CACGUAGGCGGCUCUAUAAGUCAGAUGUGAAAUCCCCGGGCUCAACCUGGGAACUGCAUCUGAAACUGUAGAGCUAGAGUAUGUGAGAGGAAGGUAGAAUUCCAGGUGUAGCGGUGAAAUGCGUAGAGAUCUGGAGGAAUACCGAUGGCGAAGGCAGCCUUCUGGCAUAAUACUGACACUGAGGCUCGAAAGCGUGGGUAGCAAACA
rnacentral:rRNA from 1 species